rnacentral:rRNA from 1 species
UACGGAGGGUGCAAGCGUUAUCCGGAUUUACUGGGUUUAAAGGGAGCGCAGGCGGAUUGGUAAGUCAGUGGUGAAAUACCCGUGCUUAACAUGGGAACUGCCAUUGAUACUAUCAGUCUUGAAUGUUGUUGAGGUUUGCGGAAUGGGUCAUGCAGCGGUGAAAUGCAUAGAUAUGACCCGGAACACCUAUUGCGAAGGCAGCAGGCUAAACAAAUAUUGACGCUGAGGCUCGAAAGCGUGGGGAUCAAACAGG